rnacentral:miRNA from 1 species
UGACUUGGGAACAUGGGAAGAGG